rnacentral:rRNA from 1 species
GAGACCCACGCCAACAGUUGCCAGCAUGUCCUCCGGGAUGGUGGGGACACUGUUGGGACCGCCUCUGCUAAAGAGGAGGAAGGAAUGGGCAACGGUAGGUCAGCAUGCCCCGAAUUAUCCGGGCUACACGCGGGCUACAAUGGUCAGGACAAUGGGUAUCGACACCGAGAGGUGAAGGCAAUCCCUUAAACCUGUCCUUAGUUCGGAUUGUGGGCUGCAACUCGCCCACAUGAAGCUGGAAUCCGUAGUAAUCGCGUCUCAAAAUGGCGCGGUGAAUAU